UUCUCAGUAAUAAAGUGGUUAGUGCACAGCCCGGAUCGGUUGAGACGCGGGUUCGAAUCCCGCCUGAGAUG
rnacentral:tRNA from 1 species